UACGGGGGGGAGCAAGCGUUGUUCGGAUUUACUGGGCGUAAAGGGCGCGUAGGCGGCCACCGCAAGUCGACUGUGAAAUCCCCGGGCUCAACCCGGGAACUGCGUCCGAUACUGGAAGGCUUGAAUCCGGGAGAGGGAUGUGGAAUUCCAGGUGUAGCGGUGAAAUGCGUAGAUAUCGAGAGGAACACCUGCGGCGAAGGCGGGUUGCUGGGCUGAUACUGACGCUGAGGCGCGAAAGCUAGGGGAGCGAACGGG
rnacentral:rRNA from 1 species